rnacentral:rRNA from 1 species
UACGUAGGGUGCGAGCGUUAAUCGGAAUUACUGGGCUUAAAGCGUGUGUAGGUGGAUGCCUAAGUACCUUGUGAAAUCCCACAGCUUAACUGUGGAACUGCUUGGUAUACUGGGUGUCUUGAGUCACUCAGGGGCGAGCGGAACAAAUGGUGGAGCGGUGAAAUGCGUAGAUAUCAUUUGGAACGCCAAUGGUGAAAACAGCUCGCUGGGGGUGCACUGACACUGAGACACGAAAGCCAGGGGAGCGAACGGG